AAGGGGUCUCCGUAGGUGACCUGCGGAGGGUCAUUACACAAAUAUGAAGGCGGGCUGGAACCUCUCGGGGUUACAGCCUUGCUGAAUUAUUCACCCUUGUCUUUUGCGUACUUCUUGUUUCCUUGGUGGGUUCGCCCACCACUAGGACAAACAUAAACCUUUUGUAAUUGCAAUCAGCGUCAGUAACAAAUUAAUAAUUACAACUUUCAACAACGGAUCUCUUGGUUCUGGCAUCGAUGAAGAACGCAGCGAAAUGCGAUAAGUAGUGUGAAUUGCAGAAUUCAGUGAAUCAUCGAAUCUUUGAACGCACAUUGCGCCCUUUGGUAUUCCAAAGGGCAUGCCUGUUCGAGCGUCAUUUGUACCCUCAAGCUUUGCUUGGUGUUGGGCGUCUUGUCUCUAGCUUUGCUGGAGACUCGCCUUAAAGUAAUUGGCAGCCGGCCUACUGGUUUCGGAGCGCAGCACAAGUCGCACUCUCUAUCAGCAAAGGUCUAGCAUCCAUUAAGCCUUUUUUUCAACUUUUGACCUCGGAUCAGGUAGGGAUACCCGCUGAACUUAA
rnacentral:rRNA from 1 species